rnacentral:misc_RNA from 1 species
GAUGAAGAACGUAGCGAAAUGCGAUAAGUAAUGUGAAUUGCAGAAUUCAGUGAAUCAUCGAAUCUUUGAACGCACAUUGCGCCCGCCAGUAUUCUGGCGGGCAUGCCUGUUCGAGCGUCAUUUCAACCAUCAAGCCCCAGGCUUGUGUUGGGGACCUGCGGCUGCCGCAGGCCCUGAAAACCAGUGGCGGGCUCGCUGUCACACCGGGCGUAGUAGAUUUUAUCUCGCUCAGGGCGUGCUGCGGGUUCCGGCCGUUAAAAAGCCUCUAAUACCCAAGGUUGACCUCGGAUCAGGUAGGAAGACCCGCUGAACUUAAGCAUAUCAAUAAGCGGAGGA